CUUCUCCAGGGAUCUUCCUCACCCAGGGAUUGAACCCAGGACUCCUGUAUUGCAGAUAGAUUCUUUACCAUCUGAGCCACUUUUAGCCUAAUUUAUAGGGCUUGGAGAGGAUUAGAACGUGGGAGUUAGGAGGGGUUCAGGAAAUAGUGGAGAUAAUUAUUUUUGAUUGUUUUCAUGAGAUUACUUACAGGUCAUUUGUAUCCAUGAGUGGAGCUGGUAGCCACCCAUGUGUUGUGAUUUCACCCAAGACUGGCCUGCAGCCAAAUACCUCCGCUAUUGUCCAGGGGUCCACAAUUCUUACAAGUCCUCUGUAAUUCUGGACAUCUUGAUUGGGUUACAGUAUGAGGUUACUUGGGAGGGACCCUCCUUAGCUGGAUACCAUGUUAGCAAGGAUUUAUCUAUUGGAUCCACCAGUUUCCGUAUCUUGUAACCUAGCAGGCAGUGGCAAGGCCCUGAAGAAAUGGGACCCAGAGCAGGACUGUUCCUGUUGGUGAAGACAGUGGUAUAGGACUUGUAUCCCCAGUUCCAGAUAGCCCAGCGAUGCUUUUACUGCUCUACACUUUCCCUAAUGAUGGCUGAGGACAGAGUACAACUAAAGAAGUUGGAUACAAGAUGUCAAGGAAGUGCAUAAUUUUAGGAAUGCAACAAAGGAAGAUUCAGCAGGCAUUUUUUGUUUGUUUGUUUGUUUCUGUAAGCCAAUAUUUUUCACACCAGUACUGUGUCCAUGGAGUUUUAUGUCUUCUCUUUAACUUGCAAACUGAUCAUUUCUCAGAAA